ACUACUACUCUACCGUUAACAUUUUUGGGUACUAAUUUACUUCAAUAUUAAGGCCAAUAAAAAUGACAUGGCUGUAAUGCUGACUAACGUGCUAGCUAGGAGCUAGACCUUGAUCCAGCCACUCCUGUUCCUUUC